UAAGUUUUCUAUAUUGCUCCUACUGACAGAGAUCAUAAAGUACUUUAUUCUUAGUUCAAACAUGUUGGCCUUUGUCAGACCAAGCAUUCAAUUGUAGGGGUCAGAAAACGCAUUUCCAGUGGGCUUAAAUUGGGUGGGCUACGUACUUAAGGGGAAAAUGAUUUUAAAAAUAUCAGGGUGUGCCUGGCAAACAGGAGAGCAGUCAACUACAUUUGACAGUGGUUGAGGAGAAACUGGAUUUUCUCCCAUACGCAUCCUGGGCGUCACUGUAGCCCCUUCUCUUGAGCGAAUGGUUACCAGCAAAUGGUCACUCGAAGCUUUGUCAGGAGUGCUCAUCCUUUACCGUACUUUAUUAAAGCCUCAGGCAUGUGCCCCUGCACCCUCUCUGUCCUGUUCAUUGUUUUGGCUUCAGAGCUGGGGAGCAAGGCUGGCAUCUCAUGGGGAGUUUCCAUGUGUGAAGGUCUACAUCCUUCAUUCACACCCUUCAAGGUUUCCCUUAACAUUUUCUGAUUGUGUUUCUGAGUACAUGGUGUCAACAGCUCUCAGAAUUGUUAAGUUUUCUAUUUAUCCCCAGGCCAAAAAAAGGCACAGAUCACUGCAGUGUAAAAUUACCAGUGGUUUUGACAGUGACCUAGAAGAACUAUAGAAUGAAGAAAUUUAGCCUUGAGAGCUGAGGUCCAGCCCCAGGCUCAUCUUAACCAAGAGGUUCUGCUCAAUUAUACAGGCCACAAGGAGUUCUGCUGGUCCUGAAAAUAUUGAACUCAUCCAACUUACGUUGGGAAGUGUUGACUCAUCUUGAUGAAUGGCCAGUUUCAGACACCAAGUAUCAUAUUUACUUGCUUAUUUCCUUAACAAUUAUAUUCCUACACAAAUUUAAUUUUGAAAAGUAAUUCUAUGAGUUUUGAAAAUGGCCUUUUAUUUCUUUUGUAGGAGCUCCAAAAUCAGCACAAACUCUUCUGAAGUCUUGAAAAGAUUAGCUGGAAUAAUUAAAAAAUUGCCAGAUUUGCUGAAAAUAGAAGGAAGGAACAUUUCUUUGGAAUUGCUCUUGCACAGCCUUCAGAGAGACAAUGUUGUAAUGGACACAUCAGUAUGAAACUUCAGAGCACCAAGAAAAAAAGAGAACCCCCUAAGAGAUUCAAUGCAGGAAAAGACAGAUUACCUUCUGAAGAAUGAGAAUUCGAAUAGCUUUUGACUUCUUAUCCACAACAUUGGAUUCUGAAAGAAAAUGGAAUCAUAUCUUCACAUUUCUGAGGGAAAAUGAUUUUGACCAGAGCAAUCUGUGCCCAGCCAAACCACCAAUCAAGUGGAGAGGGGAAAAUAUAUCAACAUAUAGGAAAUUAUAGUUUAUAUUUCCAAAGAAGAUAAUUGAGAAUGAAUUCCAGAAAAAUGGAUAACAUCAUGAAGGAUGAAGUCUUGAGAUCCAGGAAUUAAUAGCUCUACCCUACAAGGGCAGGGAGGGAAGGCCCUUGGUCACAGCUGGGCUCCAGAGCUGUCUGGAUUGGUUCAUAAAUUCAGAGAGAGCUGGAUGGCGGUCUUAAGAAAGAGAUUGGUCCACAAGUGAAAGUAUGGUGGUGGGCAAAAGUAGGCUUGCAAUUACAUUGUGACACUCUUUUGAAUUAAUAAAGUUAGUAUAAUAAUCAUAA